AGUGUUGGCAAGGGAGUACAUGGUGCGGUCUUGGGUAGAGGUGGAGCUCGUGCCUCAUCCCCCAGCCAAGGCGACAGUGUUGGACGAACCUAUGAUGACUGUAGACUUCGCUCGCGUUCACCAUCUGUCAGUACAGGCACUGUUCAUUCCCAUGUGGAGGUGGGUGGCUAUCACUCCGGAGUUCCAUCCACAGUAGAAGGUCAAGUAGGAGAAUCUAUGGACUAUGAUUGGGCAGCGGCGCAUGGCCCUAACGCGCCUCCAUCGCCAUGAGACUCAUAGCCUGGAAUUGCCGAGGAAUGGGGCGAGGCCUUGGCAAUGAAAGGAUGACGUAUCUCGCCAAAUUCAUUCAUUCCACUAAAGCUCAGUGUUGUAGUUCCUUCGAGGGGCUCCUCAGGCGGUUUAUGGCUGAUGUGGAAUGAUGAGCUUCAAGUUCAUGUGAAUACGGCUUCCUUCUAUGUUAUCUUAGCGAAUGUAGUUCAUAUAGCUACCGGUAGAGAUUUUGGUCUAGUUUGCAUCUAUGGUGAUCCUUAUCACAGACAAACUGAUGUGAUUUGGGAUCAGAUUUCAAAUUUUGUGUAUGAUAACCCUGGGAAGCCUAUGUUAUGUAUGGGAGAUCUCAAUGAACUUUUGUAUGAUGUGGAUAAAAGUAAUGCUAAUGUGAAUUAUCGUCGCCUGUA